GAAGACAAGCCAGACACCUUCGGCGAACGCGCCGAUUUCUACUACCGGAAACGCCCUGAACUUCUCUCCCUCCUCCACGACCUCUACAAUCGCUACCUUCACUUAGCCGAUCGCUACACCCGCACUCUCUCCAAACACCACCACCACCUCCACCAUGAAUCACAACCACCAAGUCCGAUUUCAAUCCACACCACCACCACCACCACCACCAACGAUUUCUCCGACGACGCUCAAACAACCUCAAUCUCCUACCAACCCCCUGAAAAACAAACUCCCUCAGAUCUCGUAAUAUCCGAACUCGUAAUCAAGUUUGUCGAAUACGAUUUCAUGGUGGAUGAGUUAAAGGUGUCCGAUU
rnacentral:lncRNA from 1 species